GUGCUCACUACAGCAGCACAUAUAUUAAAAAUUGUAGCACUACAGAGAAGAUUAGUGGGGCCCUGCACAAGGACGACACGCAGGCGGGGUGCAGUGGCUCAGGCCUGU
ensembl:snRNA U6 U6 spliceosomal RNA